AUACAAAGAAGAGUUUGAUCCUGGCUCAGGAUGAACGCUAGCGACAGGCCUAACACAUGCAAGUCGAGGGGCAGCACAAGGGUAGCAAUACUCUGGUGGCGACCGGCGCACGGGUGAGUAUCGCGUAUGCAACCUACCUACCACAGGGGGAUAGCCUUCCGAAAGGGAGAUUAAUACCGCAUGAAACAGGGGUCCCGCAUGGGGAUAUUUGUUAAAGAUUUAUCGGUGGUAGAUGGGCAUGCGUUCCAUUAGCUAGUUGGCGGGGUAACGGCCCACCAAGGCGACGAUGGAUAGGGGAACUGAGAGGUUUAUCCCCCACACUGGGACUGAGACACGGCCCAGACUCCUACGGGAGGCAGCAGUGAGGAAUAUUGGUCAAUGGGCGGGAGCCUGAACCAGCCAAGUCGCGUGGAGGACGACGGUUCUAUGGAUUGUAAACUCCUUUUGCACUGGGGUAAAACGGGGGACGUGUCCCCCCUUGCAAGUACAGUGCGAAUAAGCAUCGGCUAACUCCGUGCCAGCAGCCGCGGUAAUACGGAGGAUGCGAGCGUUAUCCGGAUUUAUUGGGUUUAAAGGGUGCGUAGGCGGCCCCUUAAGUCAGCGGUAAAAUUUCUGCGCUCAACGCAGUCUGGCCGUUGAAACUGGGGGGCUUGAGUCUGGAUGAAGUGGGCGGAAUUUGUAGUGUAGCGGUGAAAUGCUUAGAUAUUACAAGGAACUCCGAUUGCGCAGGCAGCUCACUAAGCCAUCACUGACGCUGAAGCACGAAAGCGUGGGUAUCAAACAGGAUUAGAUACCCUGGUAGUCCACGCAGUAAACGAUGAUCACUCGCUGUCUGCGAUAUACAGUAGGCGGCUUAGCGAAAGCGUUAAGUGAUCCACCUGGGGAGUACGCCGGCAACGGUGAAACUCAAAGGAAUUGACGGGGGCCCGCACAAGCGGAGGAACAUGUGGUUUAAUUCGA
rnacentral:rRNA from 1 species